rnacentral:tRNA from 1 species
GUCUUGGUGGCUCAGUUGGCAGAGCGCUGGAGUUUCGAUCCAGAUGCCGUGAGUUCAAGUCUCACCCAAGGCA